CGUUUGGGUAGGGUAGGAAGGAGGAGCUUUUACCUGUGACCUCCCACACGCAGCAAACGAGAAACGGCGGAACUUGGAGUUUUCUUUUUUCUUUUUGUUUUUGCGGUUAUUCGAUCAAUUUCUCAGGGUAAUUUGAAAAUGGCCAGUAGAAACAGGAUUUCCCGUGAAGCCAUUAAUAGCAGGCGUGGGUACCAACCUCUUGAGGGGCCAUACGUUCGGGGCCCUCCAUUAUCCCGGCCUCUGCGGCAUCCUGCGGUGUUGGAGGAAGAGCUUGAGUUGCAGCAUGCCGAAAUCCGGAGGCUGUUGGCCGAUAACCGGAGGCUGGUUGAAGACCGAGUGGGGUUGCAGCGCGAGCUCGGUGCAGCGAAGGAGGAGCUUCAUCGGAUGAAUCUCGCCAUUGGGGAGAUUCGGGCUGAAGAAGAAAUGCGGUCCAGGGAGCUUUAUGAGAAGGGGUUGAAGUUGGAAGCCGAUCUUCGGGCAGCUGAGCCAUUUAAAAACGAGGCUUUGCAACUUCGUGCGGAAGUUAAGAAGCUGAGGGAACUAAAUCAGGACUUGUCCUCGCAAGUUCAGACUCUCAAACAGGACGUUGGAACAUUGCAAGUUGAUAAUCAACAGAUUCCUCAUUUGAGGGCCGAUAUCGAUGGCCUGCAGCAGGAGCUUAUGCAUGCUAGAACUGCGGUCGACUAUGAGAAGAAAGCAAAUAUCGAGCUGGUGGAACAGAGACAGGCAAUGGAGAAGAAUUUAGUUUCCAUGGCGCGGGAAGUUGAGAAACUACGCGCAGAGCUUCAUAGUAUUGAUAGUAGACCAUGGGGUGCAGGUGGACCAUAUGGGAUGAAAUUCGGAAGCCCAGAGGGAACUUUCCCCACUCCAUAUGGAGAUGGAUAUGGGCUUCACAUGGGUGUUGCUGACAAAGGACCUAUUUAUGGCCCGGGUCCAGCUUCAUGGGGAGGAUCUGAGAAACCACGCAUGACUCGGCGCUAAGAUGAUAAUUGUUUAAAUUGCAGAGGCACGCAAGUUGCUGUUUGGAUGCUUCGGAUAUGAUUGCCUGAGGAUCAUUAGGUUCAUAUAUAUGGAAGGUGGCAACUGACAUUUAAAGGUUUAAGGAGUCAAGGUGAAUCUGAUCUAGUUUUCCUGGGACUUAAUCUAGCGCCAGGUCGUGGUAAAGUUGCAAAAUAUGUGGGGAUCAAAUCACUGAUUUGGAUAAUAUGGCUGCCAAAUUUGGACCUUUGGAAUGCCAAGCCACUAGUGGCGGAUGCUGCCCCAUGCAGUUUUUCAUAGCUUAUAUGUGCGAUGGCUAGGAAUUUCAUAUCAAGUCACGUGUGAAAAGGUAAUAUCUUUAGCUGAGAAGUCUUUUAUUACCCUACGUGCGCCUACUUUUCAUGAAAAUGGUAAAACUUGGUUGAUAUAGCCAGAGGAAUGGUUUCACCGAAUUUAGUGGAAAGAAAAAAUCCCGUCCCCAUUUUUUUUUUUUUUUUUUUUUUGGGUUACGGUGGAUCGUGGCUUUUUUGACAGCGGAAUGUUGGUACUGAAAAGGUAGUAGGUGAUUAGGGUAUUACUAUUAUUUACCCAUAUGUGAUUAGGGUAUUACUAUUAUUUGCCCACAAGUGAUUAGGGUAUUGUUAGUAUAGCAGAAUCCUCGUAUUAUUCUUGAAAAUCACUAGUUGAUGACAGGCAAGGUUUUAAAAGGCGGAAUCGGGCCUCAAGGUGUUUUGCCUUUACGAGGCGAGGCGUAAGCCUCCAAGCG